GUACGACACAGGAAAACGUCAGAGACUAAGCAAAUUUGAAUAGACCUCUGAGUAAAUAUUUCCCUUUUGGAGUUUUCAGGACUUUCUGUCCCGCUGUUUUAUGGGGAAGGCGGGGGAAGACACGCAGACAUCAAUUCGACUAAACAAAGUUUAUCAAUAAUAUUAAAAAUAAAAAGUAAAGCCCCUUUCUGAACAUUAUGGCUUAUUCCUUGAUUAUCCUUCUUAAUGCCACAGCGUGGCUAUCUCAGAACAAAAUUAGAGACUAACAGUAAAUUUACUUUAAUUUUUACGAAUAAUUCUCUAUCAAUGUAAAAAUUUUUCAUAUACGCGUGUAUGAAAGAAAAACACUACUAUUUUUCCACAUUCGUGAAAACUGCUUAACUGGGACAGUAACCGAGCGGCCAGUGAAUAUUUAAAAUACUGUAACCGACGAAUACGUAUGCUUCUAGGACCACGUGGAAUCUUUCCCAUGGAUUUCACCAUGUUGCCCAGGCUGGUCUCAAAACUUCUGAAUUCAAGCAGUCCGCCCGCCUCUGCCUCACGCCUGUAAUCCCAGCACUUUGGGAGGCCCAGGUGGGAAGAUCACGAGGUCAGGAGCUUGAGACCAGCCUGGCCAACAUGGGGAAACCCCAUCUCUACUAAAAAUACGAAAAUUAGCCAGGCGUGGGGGCAGGUUCCUGUAAUCCCAGCUACUCAGGAGGCUGAGGCAGGAGUAUCGCUUGAAACCGGGAAGUGGAGGUUACAGUGAGCUGAGAUCACAUCGUUGCAGUCCAGCCUGGGUGACAGAGCAAGACUCCGUCUGAACAACAACAACAAAAAAGUUAAGUCUCCAUCCCAAAGUGAAUAUGGGUCAUAUGUUACAUGAGUUUUUGUUCAAUACGCAUGUGUCAGGACCACUUUCAUGAAUAUUCAUAGCUCUUCCUGUAACCUGGUGAAAAUGUAGGUUUAGCCAACCUGUUCAGCCUGAACUACACUCCAAGCCCUCCUCCUUCAAAGCGCCUGUUUCUGGAGGCACGCUUCCCAGCCUGCAGGAUGGCCACCUUGCAGGCCAUAAAGUCUCCCCUUCUUUUCUAAAUUUAUUCAUUGUGGGGCUUUUUAAUAUAUACAUUUUUAAAAGAGAGAGAGAGACAGAGUCUCGCUUUGUUGCCCGGGCUGGUCUCAAACUCCUAGGCUCAAGCUAUCCUUCUGCCUCAGCCUCCCAAAGUGCUGGGAUUACAGGCAUGAGCCACCGCACCCAGCCCAUUGUUGGGCUUUUUUAAGUUAACGCUUGGUAUAUGUUAUAAAUACCUUCUCCCAGGUUGACACUUGUCGUCUUUGUUUACGGUGAUUUGUUCUCUAGAUUUUAAUUUCAAUGUAGUCAAAUUUAUCAAUCUGUUGUUAUGAUAGCUGACUUGUAGCUUUCUUAAGAAAUCCUUCCCUCUCCUGAGGUCACUAAGAUUUUCAUUUUCAUUUUCAUAGUUUUAUAGUUUUGUUUUUCACAUCUUUUUUUUUCUAUUUGGCUAUUAUUGGGGUAUAGCAACACUGUGGAUUUUUGUACAGCAAUCUUGUACCAAAAACCUUGUUGAAUUCUGUUAUUCUAGUAUUUUGUCUGUGCCAGGAACAGUGGUACACACCUGUAAUCCCAGCUUCUUGAGAGGCUGAGGCAGGAGGAUUGCUUGAACCCAGGUGUUCAAGGCUAGCCUGGGCAAUAUAGCAAGAUUCUGUCUCUAAAAAAAAAAAUCAUAUUAUGGUAGAUGGAAACUAGUAUGUGAUAAAAUAAAAAUGACUUUAAAAAAAUUUGUCUAAAGUUCUUUAGGAUUUUUUAUUUAGCAGAACAUUAUGCAAA
rnacentral:lncRNA from 10 species